rnacentral:lncRNA from 1 species
AGAGGGUGCCCUGGAAGAUGAUUGUUCUUAACAACAAUUACAGUCGGUUGCGAUAGUGUAUUAUCUUGAAGAUUGGGGGAUGAAUUUUUUACCCCUUUAGUCUCCGAAAUUAAUUGGUAUAAUAGCCAUGAUUUGCCUGCUUCCUCUCUCUUGUAUGCUGCCUAGUUACAGAAAGUUUUAGCCUCAGCGUGAUAAACAAAAAUGGUAGUAUUUACUACCAUUCACAAUCAGACCCCAAACCCAGAGUUUUGGGCUGCUGAGAUGCCCCAUAGGUGCCUAGAUUAAAGAGCUCUUCACCCUCUGGCGUUUCAUCUCUCUUUUUAGAAUUCUCUAAUUAGAGUUGCCUUACUUACUCAAGCAACCAAGUCAGAAACCUGAGUUUAAGCUUGAAGAACAAUGGACAGAACAGUAUCACUUAACUCUAUCUUUAGAGUUAAGUGAGUUGUAUGGUCAUUUCAAGCUUGGGUUUAACUCAGUGCGGUACAAACUACUUUGAUUUUUGAAGUUUCAGUUGAAGCAUACUUCACCAAUGUAAUAACUAAAGCAAUCUCAUUUUCCUCAUGGUUUUAUUGUGUGGUCACAGGGUAGAAUCCAAUGUAGUUACUUUGCUUUCCUCAAUUCUACAUCUCUACUAAGGCUCAGCACAAAGUAAAGAUGGAGAUGACCAAGACUGUUAGUCAUGACCCCUGACCUUUUCCUCUGCCAUCCUUCACCUAAAAGGUCAUCCAUUCAAUGCAUUCUUUCUAACUACUUUCGAUCUUUACCUUAUGUCUAACAUGUUGCCUAAGGCUUUAAUUAAUUUCUGCAUAAUUAUUACUGUGUGGGCUUGAAGCCUGUUUCUUCACCUCUGCUCAGCCUUCCUCCAUUUGUCCUUCAUUAUGUUCAAGAAGCAUAAAUGGAGUUUUUUUUCCCUCUGCUUAAAAUUCUACAGCAACAUGCAGAUUGUUUACAAACUCUGUGCUUCUUUAAUGUCACAGACAUUCUUGCUUGAUGUAGACCACCCAGUUAUUACCCGUUGAUGUCAUGAACCCCUUGCUACAUCACCUGCCAUUUGGGGAUGUGAGACAAUCCCAGUCUUCUCACAACUUCAUGCUUUUGUGACCUCACAUCUUUUUGAAAUGCACCAUCAGUCUUUCCAAAUGUUAAAUUCUUUGUCACCAUUUGAAAUCCCAGAAUACAUUUCUGCACCUAUUUCCUUUUGUCCUUUGGGAAACCUGGUUGCUUUCUCUUUUAUACCUUGUUAGAGUUGCUAAGGACUUGGUAAGUAUUUAGUCCUGAAUAUUGCUGCUACUUUCAAAAUCAUGAUCAUCUUUAUUGAUACUACACAUCUAGCUUAAUCCUACUGGGUAACUAAACCUGGCAGCCUCAGAAGAAUCAAUGAAUCAAGAUUAAAAAGGAGACACAUUAAGUAAUCACCAACCAUAUUUGAUCUUCAGACACUCAACUCUAUAAGAACAAAAUAGAUAAAAAACUGGCAUUUCUCUCCUUUAUAUUUCUUAGAUAUACCUUUCUGUAGAUGCUCCAGAAUCUUACAAUGAAUGAGUUUUCUAUUGUCAUGAAUUUUAACACUAUCUCACAACUUAAGAUAGCACACAUCUGUUAUCUCAGAAUGAAGUGCUGAAAACUCUGACCCCAGGUCUUACCAACUUAUGACUGAGACAUCAUUGUGCUGGCCUGUGGCACUGAGUUAUAGAUUCUGAAGGGAAUCUGUUUCACCAUUUUGGAGAAAUGUUGAUCAUAUCAGUGUUUCCCCAGUGUUAGAUUAAGGACUCUUCCCAGCAUCUAGAUUGUUUCCUCUAGAUGGAUUCUGUGCUCUUUUCUCACACAUCAUUUUGACCAUAGUCCUUUAAGAACUCAAGUGGUUGCAUGAGCUGUGCCCGGAUAUUGCAUUUACAAACUCUCUCUAGCCACAUAAGCUCACAUAUUCACAGUGCACAGGAUAAUGCCAUGCCCAUUUAAGGAGGGAUCACCUUGUCUAACAUAAAAUGCAAAUUGUUAUUGAGUGGCUGGAAUAGGAAGGUUCCUGAUGCAUGACAGGGAUAUGCUGAUUCUGGAAGUGAUUUUUCUACAUCACGUCCUUGAAUAUCUUGCUUUGGCAUAUCUUAAAGGCUCAGAAAUAUUACCAGUGUAACAACUUACUUAAAGUUUGUUUGCUUAUACUGUGAGGUAUCAUGCUGUAAGAUCUCACAUUAACCUCUAUCAUACUUAGAGUAGAAUUUGUCAUUUGUUAUUUUAAGGUAAACAUCAUCUAUUAUUAAACAUAAAUAUCUAAGGCAAAGUUGGGAAUAUGCUGUAUUUUCAUAUGUUCCCUGACAUGACUUCAGGGUAUUUUAUUUCAUUCGUUAUUCCAUUCUCUCCUGCCCUCAUGCCUACCCUAUGGCCAUUGUUGUGCUUCAUAAUGAUACGUCAUGGAGCCCUGAAAAUUCCAGCUCUUAGUAUCUGUCUUAUGAAGCACCUCCUCCUUCCUUUUCCUCACCCCAUAACUCACACAUUCAACUAGAGGUCAUUGUUGUUGCCUAUAUUUCAUUCAGUACAACCUCCCUUCUUUGCUAAACUUUCUAGUUCCUGUUAUUGAACUUGUUGCCUUUCAAUUAGUAAUUCCAAAGUGACACCUUUUCUCAAGUGUAUUAAUAAUGCAUUCCAUCAACACUUUACCAUAAGUUACUCUUAUUUCUGACUCGAUCUACUUUGAAGGUUCCCAGAGAUCUUCAUUCUCAAAAGCAAUUAUCUUUUGUCCAGGAUUAUAUUAAUUACCUCUAACAUUUGUUGACUUCUCUCUUAAACAUCAUGAAUUGUGACACUCAGAUUUCUACACAGUUUUGGCCAAUUCACUGGGUUUUGUUUUCUUCUUUGUUUUGCUUUUUACUCUAUGAUUUACAAAUUCUUCAAGAUCAAUUCUAACUUUCUUUUUUUACUUUCUGGGAAAUUCUGGCCAAUAUCAUUGCCUAAAUAAAUGCCUUUGCUAUGAAAUCAUGAACACCCACUGCCUUCCUAAAUGACCACCUCCUUUAUAUGAGGUAGGAGAACUGUGUGUCUUCCCUCAUAAGUACUACUUCCAUAUUGCCCUUUGCUACUUUUGAAAAUAUGGUGUUCUCCUGCACGCAUACUCUCAAGAGAUUUUUAGAAGUUUCUAGCAUUCUAGAAUUUCAGGAAUUGAACUACAAAUAAGCUUACUGCCAAUUGGCUGAGUUGUUGAGCUUCCAUAAAUAAGCCAUUUUGGCAGAGUUCAUCCUAAUAAAUUUUAUUUUAUCAGUUUGUGUCUCCUAUUCACUGGAUAUCUACAUGCCAGUUUUACUGUAUCCAGGUUAGGUAAGAUCCUUUGACGUAGUAUUUUGAACGGGAAACAAAGUGCUUUCUUUUUUCUACGCAAUGAAGGAAAAAGAAACAUAAAUAGAAGUCAUGUUCGUUAAAGUCAACUGAACUUGAGGGUCAUAGUUCUGCAAGUGAGCACACAGAAUUGUUUUUUGCCUGGCCAUGAACAUACAACACUCCUUUAACAAAUCAAUGCUAAUAGAAAAGAAUGGAGUUCUUACCCUGUUCAGGGCAUAUGAAUUGUUGCAAUCAAUUGGAUUUGCAUUUAUAAAACCCAUGAUGGAAUGCAAAAGUUAAUGGUC